rnacentral:rRNA from 1 species
UCUUUUUGUAUUAAAUUUAAAGUCAGACCUGCCCACUGAAAUUUUAAAUGGCCGCGGUAAUUUGACCGUGCUAAGGUAGCAUAAUCAAUAGUUUUUUAAUUGAAAGCUGGAAUGAAGGGUUUAAUAAGAAAAUAUCUGUCUCUAUUUAAUUAAUUAAAAUUUUAUUUUUAAGUUAAAAAGCUUAAAUAUAUUUAAAAGACGAGAAGACCCUAUAGAGUUUAAUAAGUAAUAUUUUUAUAUUUAUAGAAUUUAUAUGAUAAAAAUUAUUUAUUUAUUUAAUUGGGGUGAUUGAAAAAUUAAAUUAACUUUUUUUUAAUAAUUAUAUUAAUUAAUAAAUUUUUGAUCCAAUAAUUUUGAUUAUAAGAUUAAAUUACCUUAGGGAUAACAGCGUAAUUUUAUUUGAGAGUUCAAAUUAAAAAUAAAGAUUGCGACCUCGAUGUUGGAUUAAAA